rnacentral:misc_RNA from 1 species
UCAAACAGUAGAACUUCAGUACCCUAUCGAUGACAGUAACACAAACAAGGACAAAAAGCACACUAUCAAAUAUUCGCAAUAGAGCUUCAAACGAAUCCAAAAACAAAAAAUUCGCUAUAUCCACAUCAGAUAUAGAACUAGAGAGAGACAAAGUAAAUCGAGCUCAAACACAAGCAUUAACAGAUCAAUCAUAGAAUCGUUAAAACACAACACAAUAUGAAAUAAGCUACGCUCUCAGAGAAGCAACGAAGGUCAGAAAUGUAGGCUACCAAGCAAGGACGAACCCGCAUGG